AUGCAGUCGAACGGUGAUGUCAGAGCUUGCUCUGGCGGAUCAGUGGCGAACGGGUGAGUAACACGUGAGUAACCUGCCCCCGACUCUGGGAUAACUGCUAGAAAUGGUAGCUAAUACCGGAUAUGACGAUUGGCCGCAUGGUCUGGUCGUGGAAAGAAUUUCGGUUGGGGAUGGACUCGCGGCCUAUCAGGUUGUUGGUGAGGUAAUGGCUCACCAAGCCUACGACGGGUAGCCGGCCUGAGAGGGUGACCGGCCACACUGGGACUGAGACACGGCCCAGACUCCUACGGGAGGCAGCAGUGGGGAAUAUUGCACAAUGGGCGCAAGCCUGAUGCAGCAACGCCGCGUGAGGGAUGACGGCCUUCGGGUUGUAAACCUCUUUUAGUAGGGAAGAAGCGAAAGUGACGGUACCUGCAGAAAAAGCACCGGCUAACUACGUGCCAGCAGCCGCGGUAAUACGUAGGGUGCAAGCGUUGUCCGGAAUUAUUGGGCGUAAAGAGCUCGUAGGCGGUUUGUCGCGUCUGCUGUGAAAUCCCGAGGCUCAACCUCGGGUCUGCAGUGGGUACGGGCAGACUAGAGUGCGGUAGGGGAGAUUGGAAUUCCUGGUGUAGCGGUGGAAUGCGCAGAUAUCAGGAGGAACACCGAUGGCGAAGGCAGAUCUCUGGGCCGUAACUGACGCUGAGGAGCGAAAGCAUGGGGAGCGAACAGGAUUAGAUACCCUGGUAGUCCAUGCCGUAAACGUUGGGAACUAGAUGUGGGGACCAUUCCACGGUCUCCGUGUCGCAGCUAACGCAUUAAGUUCCCCGCCUGGGGAGUACGGCCGCAAGGCUAAAACUCAAAGGAAUUGACGGGGGCCCGCACAAGCGGCGGAGCAUGCGGAUUAAUUCGAUGCAACGCGAAGAACCUUACCAAGGCUUGACAUAUACCGGAAACAUGCAGAGAUGUGUGCCCCGCAAGGUCGGUAUACAGGUGGUGCAUGGUUGUCGUCAGCUCGUGUCGUGAGAUGUUGGGUUAAGUCCCGCAACGAGCGCAACCCUCGUUCUAUGUUGCCAGCACGUAAUGGUGGGAACUCAUAGGAGACUGCCGGGGUCAACUCGGAGGAAGGUGGGGAUGACGUCAAAUCAUCAUGCCCCUUAUGUCUUGGGCUUCACGCAUGCUACAAUGGCCGGUACAAAGGGCUGCGAUACCGUAAGGUGGAGCGAAUCCCAAAAAGCCGGUCUCAGUUCGGAUUGAGGUCUGCAACUCGACCUCAUGAAGUCGGAGUCGCUAGUAAUCGCAGAUCAGCAACGCUGCGGUGAAUACGUUCCCGGGCCUUGUACACACCGCCCGUCAAGUCAUGAAAGUCGGUAACACCCGAAGCCAGUGGCCUAACCGUCAAGGGAGG
rnacentral:rRNA from 1 species